CCCUUAGAUGUUCUGGGCCGCACACGCGCUACACUGAAGGAGGCAGCGUGUACUCCUGGAUCGAAAGAUUUGGGUAACCCGCGAAUCUCCUUCGUGCUAGGGAUUGAGGUUUGCAAUUAUCCUUCAUGAACGAGGAAUUCCCAGUAAGUGCAAGUCAUAAGCUUGCGCUGACUACGUCCCUGCCCUUUGUACACACCGCCCGUCGCUACUACCGAUUGAAUGAUUUAGUGAGGACUUCGGACUGGGACCGAUGCGGCUUUCGGGCUGCGUCGGUAUUCUGGAAAGAUGUCCAAACUGUAUCAUUUAGAGGAAGUAAAAGUCGUAACC
rnacentral:rRNA from 1 species